UACGGAGGGUGCGAGCGUUGUCCGGAAUCACUGGGCGUAAAGGGCGCGUAGGCGGCUUCUCAAGCGUGUGGUGAAAGUCCGGGGCUCAACCCCGGAUCGGCCGUGCGGACUGGGGAGCUCGAGUUCUGUAGAGGCGGGUGGAAUUCCGGGUGUAGCGGUGGAAUGCGUAGAGAUGUGGAGGAAUACCGAUGGCGAAGGCAGCCCCCUGGGCCAAUACUGACGCUCAUGCACGAAAGCGUGGGGAGCAAACAGG
rnacentral:rRNA from 1 species